UCAUGUGGCCAUACCACCCUGAACACACCCAAUCUUUCUUGACUGACCUCAGAAGCUAAGCAGAGUCAGGCCUGGUUAGUAAAUGGAUGGAAGCAAUACACACUGACACAUACA
ensembl:rRNA 5S_rRNA 5S ribosomal RNA